GCUCGGAUGGUGAAAUUGGUAGACACGCUGGACUUAAAAUCCAGUGAACAGAAAUGUUCGUGCG
rnacentral:tRNA from 1 species